rnacentral:rRNA from 1 species
GAUGAACGCUGGCGGCGUUCCUAAUACAUGCAAUUCGAGCGAAUUGACUAGAAGCUUGCUUGUCUGUUGUUUGCGGCUGCCGGGUUAGUAACAUGUGGAUAACCUACCUAUAAGUCUGGGAUCACCUCUGAACUCCGGAGCUAACAGCGGAUAAGCUCUUGAACCGUAUGGUUCUAUAGUGAUAGACGUUCUUGCUGUCACUUAUCUAUGCAUCCGCGCUGCAUUAGCUAGUUGGUACGGUAACGGCUUAUCAAGGCAACGAUGCAUAGCCGACCUGAGAGGGGGGUCGGACACACUGGAACUGAGACGCGGUCAAGAGUGCUACGGGAGGCAGCAGUAGGGAAUGGGGCGCAAUAGGGGAAAGCCUGAAAGAGAAACGCCGCGUGAGUGGUGAAGGUCUGCGGAUCGUAAAACUGUGUUAUUAGGGAAGAACAUAUGUGUAAGGAACUGUGCAGAGCUUGACGGUACCGAAUCAGAAAGCCACGGCUAACUACGUG